GUGCUCGCUUCGGCAGCACAUAUACUAAAAUUGGAACUAUACAGAGAUUAGCACCGCCCCUGCGCAAGGAUGACAUGCAAAUUUGUGAAACGUUCCAUAUAAAU
ensembl:snRNA U6 U6 spliceosomal RNA